CCUCCGCCUCUGUUUGCGCGGCCGCGGGGCCGGGCACAGAGGGACAAUCGGCGUCUAGCCGGGGGAAGCGGGAGGCAAUAACAGGUCUGUGAUGCCCUUCGAUGUUCUGGGCCGCACGCGCGCUACACUGGUCCGCACAGAGGGCAGCUGCGCCGAGAGGCGUGGCCAAACGGCAAAGCGGACCGUGCAGGGGAUCGGCAGUUGCAAUUCUGCCGUGAACGAGGAAUUCCUAGUAAGUGCGAGUCAUCAACUCGCGCUGAUUACGUCCCUGUCCUUUGUACACACCGCCCGUCGCUACUAUCGACGAAUGCCCAGGCGAGCGUGUCGGCGGCGACAAAGACACGCAAGCCUGGCUGUUUGGAGAAAGUAAAAGUCG
rnacentral:rRNA from 1 species